rnacentral:rRNA from 1 species
UACGAAGGGGGCUAGCGUUGCUCGGAAUUACUGGGCGUAAAGGGCGCGUAGGCGGACCUGUCAGUCAGGCGUGAAAGCCCAGGGCUCAACCCUGCAACUGCGCUUGAUACUGCGGGUCUAGAGUGCCGGAGAGGAUGGUGGAAUUCCCAGUGUAGAAGUGAAAUUCGUAGAUAUUGGGAAGAACACCGGUGGCGAAGGCGGCCAUCUGGACGGCAACUGACGCUGAGGCGCGAAAGCGUGGGGUGCAAACAGG